rnacentral:rRNA from 1 species
CACUCCUACGGGAGGCAGCAGUGGGGAAUAUUGGACAAUGGGCGCAAGCCUGAUCCAGCCAUGCCGCGUGAGUGAUGAAGGCCCUAGGGUUGUAAAGCUCUUUCACCGGUGAAGAUAAUGACGGUAACCGGAGAAGAAGCCCCGGCUAACUUCGUGCCAGCAGCCGCGGUAAUACGAAGGGGGCUAGCGUUGUUCGGAUUUACUGGGCGUAAAGCGCACGUAGGCGGACUAUUAAGUCAGGGGUGAAAUCCCGGGGCUCAACCCCGGAACUGCCUUUGAUACUGGUAGUCUUGAGUUCGAGAGAGGUGAGUGGAAUUCCGAGUGUAGAGGUGAAAUUCGUAGAUAUUCGGAGGAACACCAGUGGCGAAGGCGGCUCACUGGCUCGAUACUGACGCUGAGGUGCGAAAGCGUGGGGAGCAAACAGGAUUAGAUACCUUGUAGUCCCA